rnacentral:rRNA from 1 species
AUGGAGCUGCAGGGAAAGGUUGGGGUGCAGAACACAAGGUCUUGCCAUUGUGAGUGCCCUGCUCUAACAAGGAUGGUGCUAUCCAAAGACAAUGGUUGGUACAUAGCAGAGCAUCGCUACCAGUACAAUCACCCGAUGUCCCCUGAUUUUGGACAGACAAUGCACUGGCCAUUGCACAAGCGCAUACUCCCUCCGUUACUAAAUAUAAGACCUUUUAGAGAUUCCUAUACGGACAACAUGUUCAAUGUAGAGAGAACCAAGUGUAUGCAGACCAUAUGUCCAGCAAUACGGAUGUUUGUUUUUGGCUUUGCUGAUGCGAACGUGAAUCACUAUGAUAUGAAGUUUGGUCUAUUUGUGAGAGGGAGCAAUCAUUUUCAGAGCAUGAUCCUUGCCGGUUGUCCGGGAUAA